rnacentral:rRNA from 1 species
AGAUGACGAGCGGCGGACGGGUGAGUAAUACUUAGGAAUCUACCUAGUAGUGGGGGAUAGCUCGGGGAAACUCGAAUUAAUACCGCAUACGACCUACGGGAGAAAGGGGGCAGUUUACUGCUCUCGCUAUUAGAUGAGCCUAAGUCGGAUUAGCUAGAUGGUGGGGUAAAGGCCUACCAUGGCGACGAUCUGUAGCUGGUCUGAGAGGAUGAUCAGCCACACCGGGACUGAGACACGGCCCGGACUCCUACGGGAGGCAGCAGUGGGGAAUAUUGGACAAUGGGGGAAACCCUGAUCCAGCCAUGCCGCGUGUGUGAAGAAGGCCUUUUGGUUGUAAAGCACUUUAAGCAGUGAAGAAGACUCCGUGGUUAAUACCCACGGACGAUGACAUUAGCUGCAGAAUAAGCACCGGCUAACUCUGUGCCAGCAGCCGCGGUAAUACAGAGGGUGCAAGCGUUAAUCGGAAUUACUGGGCGUAAAGGGAGCGUAGGUGGCUCGAUAAGUCAGAUGUGAAAUCCCCGGGCUCAACCUGGGAACUGCAUCUGAAACUGUUGAGCUAGAGUAUGUGAGAGGAAGGUAGAAUUCCAGGUGUAGCGGUGAAAUGCGUAGAGAUCUGGAGGAAUACCGAUGGCGAAGGCAGCCUUCUGGCAUAAUACUGACACUGAGGCUCGAAAGCGUGGGUAGCAAACAGGAUUAGAUACCCUGGUAGUCCACGCCGUAAACGAUGUCUACUAGUCGUUGGGUCCCUUGAGGACUUAGUGACGCAGCUAACGCAAUAAGUAGACCGCCUGGGGAGUACGGCCGCAAGGUUAAAACUCAAAUGAAUUGACGGGGGCCCGCACAAGCGGUGGAGCAUGUGGUUUAAUUCGAUGCAACGCGAAGAACCUUACCUGGUCUUGACAUAUCUAGAAUCCUGCAGAGAUGCGGGAGU